CUGGGACAUCCAUUAUGGUUAAUGUAGGAAGAGGGAUGAGGUGGUAAACUGGGACAUCCAUUAUGGUUAAUGUAGGAAGAGGGAUGAGGUGGCAAACUGGGACAUCCAUUAUGGUUAAUGUAGGAAGAGGGAUGAGGUGGUAAACUGGGACAUCCAUUAUGGUUAAUGUAGGAAGAGGGAUGAGGUGGCAAACUGGGACAUCCAUUAUGGUUAAUGUAGGAAGAGGGAUGAGGUGGCAAACUGGGACAUCCAUUAUGGUUAAUGUAGGAAGAGGGAUGAGGUGGCAAACUGGGACAUCCAUUAUGGUUAAUGUAGGAAGAGGGAUGAGGUGGCAAACUGGGACAUCCAUUAUGGUUAAUGUAGGAAGAGGGAUGAGGUGGUAAACUGGGACAUCCAUUACGGUUAAUGUAGGAAGAGGGAUGAGGUGGUAAACUGGGACAUCCAUUAUGGUUAAUGUAGGAAGAGGGGAUGAGGUGGCAAACUGGGACACCCAUUAUGGUUAAUGUAGGAAGAGGGAUGAGGUAGCAAACUGGGACAUCCAUUAUGGUUAAUGUAGGA